rnacentral:rRNA from 1 species
UGGAGAAGGUCCCAAGGGUAUGGCUGUUCGUCAUUUAAAGCGUUACGCGAGCUGGGUUCAGAACGUCGUGAGACAGUUCGGUCCCUAUCCGCCGUGGGCGUAGGAAAUUUGAGGAGAGCUGUCCCUAGUACGAGAGGACCGGGAUGGACGGACCUCUGGUCUACCAGUUGUUCCGCCAGGAGCAUUGCUGGGUAGCUACGUUCGGACGGGAUAAACGCUGAAAGCAUCUAAGCGUCAAGCCCCCUCCAAGACUAGAUUUCCCGUGGGAUAACCCACCUAAAGGCCCCUCGAAGACUACGAGGUUGAUAGGUCGCAGGUCGAAGCGCGGCAACGCGUGCAGCCGAGCGAUACUAAUUGGCCGUGAGGCUUAGCCUUUUCU